CAUCCAACGACGUAGAUUCUCCCGAGAAAUGGAAACCCUAAGCAACCACCCACCCUUCCAGAUCCGAUCGAGAGGCCCCUCCCAUACUGGGUAGACCACACCACCUCCCCUCCCCUUUCGGCCACCCCUCCUUCUCCCCGUCCCCGUCCGGCAGCAGCAUCCCGGCCGGAUCCACCAGCACCCCACCUCCCCUCCCCUAUCCACACCUCCCCUCCCCUCCCCUCCCCUCCCAUCCCAUGUCAGCGGCAGCCAUGCCCGCGCAUACCGCAUCCAUCAGCACCACCAGACGCCGCGUCGCCUCGGCUUCUCUGACGCGCCCCUUCGAUGGAAGAGGCGCAGGCCGGAGCAGACAAUAGCCGGCCGGUGAUGGACGCUCAUCGCGGGACCUGACGGAGGAGGCGGCGGUUCUUUGAUGUUCAGGCAUCCUGGAGAAGGCGGCGGCAGCGGCCAAGAAGAAGAAGGCGCCGACCAUCUACUGCGCCACGAGGACACACUCUCAGAUCACCCAGGUGGUCUGGGAGCUGCGGAAGACGCCGUACUGAGUGCGCAUGGCCAUCUUGGUACUGCCUAAUGUUCCCGUCUCAGUGCACUUCUUGCCUCUUUUUCCCCCUUGUCAUUUAGAAAGACAAGGAAAUGCAUUAUCCAACCAAUGUUAAGUAGCAGUGGCACAAAUGGCGCCACUACAUGUAUUCAAUUAUCAUGUGGUAGUGGGUGUUGAUGUAGCUGUAAUCCCGAGGAGCCACAAUUCAGUACCUCCAUUUGGUACUAUUUUUAUUCCAUGUUGUGCAAUACUUAAGGGAUGCUUAGGCAAUGCUUUCUCAUUA